UACGGAGGGAACUAGCGUUGUUCGGAUUUACUGGGCGUAAAGGGCGCGUAGGCGGUUUAUUAAGUUAGAAGUGAAAGCCCAGAGCUUAACUCUGGAAUUGCUUCUAAAACUAGUAGGCUAGAGUACGGGAGAGGAUAGUGGAAUUCCUAGUGUAGAGGUGAAAUUCUUAGAUAUUAGGAGGAACACCGGUGGCGAAAGCGACUAUCUGGAACGUUACUGACGCUGAGGCGCGAAAGCGUGGGGAGCAAACAGG
rnacentral:rRNA from 1 species